rnacentral:rRNA from 1 species
GACGGAGGAUGCAAGUGUUAUCCGGAAUCACUGGGCGUAAAGCGUCUGUAGGUGGUUUAAAAAGUCCACUGUUAAAAAUUGAAGCUUAACUUCAAAGAUGCCGUGGAAACUUUUAAACUUGAGUAUGGUAGGGGUAGAGGGAAUUUCCAGUGGAGCGGUGAAAUGCGUAGAUAUUGGGAGGAACACCAGUGGCGAAGGCGGCUCACUGGACCGGUUCUGACGCUGAGGCGCGAAAGCGUGGGGAGCAAACGGG